AUGGAGUUGAGAAGAUAUGACAGGACCUGCUGGUCUUUGGCGAUCCAGGGCCCGUACAGAGGGUUCGGCUCGAGGGCCGUCGUCUUGUCCGCCUUCGUGAUCUCCACAGUCUUGGGUGGAGCGGCGUCAGAGUUGUCCAGGAGCCCGGUUACCUGCGCACCUCGCAGGGCUGGGAGCACCUGGGUCUUCCAGAGGAUGAAGUUUCCUCUUGCUAGCUUCUCAGAUGGCGGCGAUCCGAGGUUGAGGCCGAUGCCGGAUGAAGAAGCCAUGGAGACGAUGAUAUGUGGUUCUAGGGUUUUGAUUUGUGGCUAG
rnacentral:rRNA from 1 species